rnacentral:tRNA from 3 species
GCUUUCGUGGCUCAGUUGGUAGAGCGAUUGAUUCGUAAUCAAUAGGUCGUGGGUUCGAGUCCCAUCGGAAGCU